rnacentral:rRNA from 1 species
CUACGUGCCAGCAGCCGCGGUAAUACGGAGGGUGCGAGCGUUAAUCGGAAUAACUGGGCGUAAAGGGCACGCAGGCGGUGACUUAAGUGAGGUGUGAAAGCCCCGGGCUUAACCUGGGAAUUGCAUUUCAUACUGGGUCGCUAGAGUACUUUAGGGAGGGGUAGAAUUCCACGUGUAGCGGUGAAAUGCGUAGAGAUGUGGAGGAAUACCGAAGGCGAAGGCAGCCCCUUGGGAAUGUACUGACGCUCAUGUGCGAAAGCGUGGGGAGCAAACAGGAUUAGAUACCCUGGUAGUCCACGCUGUAAACGAUGUCGAUUUGGGGGUUGAACUUUAGGUUUGGCGCCCGUAGCUAACGCGUGAAAUUGACCGCCUGGGGAGUACGGUCGCAAGAUUAAAACUCAAAGGAAUUGACGGGGACCCGCACAAGCGGUGGAUGAUGUGGAUUAAUUCGAUGCAACGCGAAGAACCUUACCUGGUCUUGACAU